rnacentral:rRNA from 1 species
ACAUGCCUACAACAUAACAUUAAUGCAUUAGAUCCCAUUAGAACUCUGUAGUUAAGAGAAAUUAGGCUAGAGUAGUAUUGGGAUGGGUGACCACCUGGGAAGUCCUAGUGUUUUACAUGCC